CCCAGCAUGGGGCCGUGCUGCACCACGCAGACAUCCCCUGAGAGACCUCACUGCUCCUUGGGAUUCGUCCCCAUAACCCUGCACCUGGGGCUGCACUGCCCACGCUACGCCUCACUCCCAGCCUGCUCCUGGUGCCUGCACACACUCUCCUGGGACGCCUUUGGUGCAAGGUCUGACUGAGUCCAGGUCUACUGCAGCCAGGAGAUAUAAGAGGUUCAAAGGCCUUGGGAGAACGGUCCCUAUUUCCCAUGGGCGGUGGCUCUGGCCGUGAUUCUGCCCCUUGUCGUUCUCCUGGGCAGUUUCUGCCUCUGGCGGCAGCACCGUGUGAAAGAGAGGCGCCGUGCAGACAAAGGUAACUUUUCUUCAUGGAUUUCCCUACGGAGGGAAGGGGGAGGUCUCAUGCUGUGCAGCUGGUGUCCCAGCAGGCCUUCAGGGCUCUCCUUGGAGAAGCUGUGUGUGAUGUGUGCUGAGGAGCUCCCCAAGAAAGCUCAUCCCCAGCACCCCCAGCCUGCUGCUCUGUCCCCCCCCCACCCCUGUGCAGUGCUGCGUGGGAGCCCCAGGGGCAGGGCUUGUCUCUCCAGGAGCCAGGGGCUAAGGGGCAGGAUGCAUAUGGGGGGAAGGCACAGAUUAGAGGGGCUGGAUUAGUUGUAGCAGGAGAGAAGGAGGGUGGUGAGAAAUUGGGCUGUCAGGAUUUAGGGGAGGCUACACCAGCAGAGUUACAGAGAGUUGGCAACCAUGGUACUGACUCGUGUCUUUAUUUUCUCUCCUCCCCUUUCCUUCCUGGGACCCUUGGCAGAGCUGGGUAAGUUGUGGUUUUGGUUUUUGCAGUGUCUUGUCCACUGACAUGUGUCCUGUGGGGUUUGUGCCUGGUUGUGUGACCUCUGGUUUCUGGUUAUUUCAGGA